GAAUAGAAAUUAACUGUACCCCAGGCUUCACUGAGGGAACUGUAUUUAGACCAAAAUGUGUGUUAGUUACCCUUACAAAUAUUAACACAAAUGACAAAUGAAACACAAAAGAAUUUAUCCACCUACGGUUGGAUAAAUAGGGACUCUCCUUCUGUGUUAAACACCUCGAUAACUCAGAGGUAACUUAUUUAUAACCUGCUAAACACAUAACAGUUCUUAUUUGUAUGAAGGUGCAUACUAUAACUGGCACUGUUUAAUUGGUGGGCCCACCAAACGAAAAAAAAAAACAAUAAAUGCCGGCAGAAUAGUCACAAACACCCCCGUUGCAGGCCUGUUGUUGAUUCCACUCACCCCAGGGUCCUCAACCCCACAGCAACGGACGAAGGUAAGUUCCCAGCUCCUCCUGUCUCCGGACAGCAGUCGAACCCCGCACUCUGUAUCCACGGAGACAAGG